AUUGAACGCUGGCGGCAGGCCUAACACAUGCAAGUCGAGCGGAGCGGCGGACGGGUGAGUAAUGCCUAGGAAUCUGCCUGGUAGUGGGGGAUACCGUCCGGAAACGGGCGCUAAUACCGCCUACUUUCAGAUGAGCCUAGGUCGGCUUAGCUAGUUGUUGGGGUAAAGGCCUACCAAGGCGACGAGCCGUAACUGGUCGGAGAGGAUGAUCAGUCACACGGGAACUGAGACACGGUCCAGACUCCUACGGGAGGUAGCAGUGGGGAAUAUUGGACAAUGGGCGAAAGCCUGAUCCAGCCAUGCCGCGUUUGUGAAGAAGGUCUUCGGAUUGUAAAGCACUUUAAGUUGGGAGGCGUUACCAACAGAAUAAGCACCGGCUAACUUCGUGCCAGCCGCCGCGGUAAUUC
rnacentral:rRNA from 1 species